AUGGAAGUUUUCCACCAUCUUUUGCCACGAUACAAACAUUACACAUGCAUGGAAAUAAUAUCAAUGGUAGCAUCCCGUCAGAGAUGUUUACAAAUUGUACCAAGCUUGAGCGUUUCUUGUAUAUGGAAACUUGUUAACUGGAAGCAUCUCAUCGCAUAUCAUCAAGUGCAAGGAGCUCGAGUUUUUGAUGGAUCCGGAAACUUGUUAACUGGAAGCAUCCCACGGGAGAUAGGGAGCAUGCGAAACAUGCAUGCAUUGUUCUUGUGGAAAAAUCACCUUACUGGAAUUAUGCCGCCAGAUAUUGGUAAUGCAACAUCUUUGAAAUUCCUUGACGUGAGCUCCAACCAUCUAGAGGGUGAGCUUCCUAAAACUAUCUCCUUGCUGGUAAAUCUUGUUGCUCUCACCUUGUCUGGCAACAAGUUUAUGGGUACCAUUCCUAAUCACGACAGCAAGCAGUUGUCAGUUGUCAAGGUUGCCAACAACACAGACAAUAGUAGCUUCUCGGGAGAAUCACGGUCUGCCAUUUGUGGAUUAACACUUCUGCAGCUAUUGGAUCUAUCAAACAAUGAGCUGUUUGGAGAUUUUCCUGGUUGCUUCUGGAAUUUGAAAGAUUUACAAGCCUUGGAUUUGUCAGGCAAUGCUUUUGCUGGGGAAGUUCCAACCUCAACUUUCAGCAACUCUUCACUAAGGUCACUGCAAUUGUCAAGCAACAACUUCACAGGUUGCUUUCCAGCGGUGUUGAAGAACUUAAAAAGCCUUGUUGUUUUGGAUCUCAGUAACAAUAAGAUUUCCGGUGUAAUUCCUCCGUGGACAGGGGAAAGCAAUCCUUCGUUGAGGAUUCUCAUGCUACGAGAAAACAUGUUCUACGGAAGCAUUCCUUGGCAGCAGCUAUCACUCCUCCCUCGUCCCCAACUGCUUGAUCUUGCUGAAAAUAAUUUUGUAGGUUCCAUACCAGAAAGUUUGGACAACUUAUCCUUGAUGAGACAGACUUUUGUGAUGCAACCAGUUGUAACAAACGUCAUAGUACUUCCCACCUAUAGAUAUUUUUAUUUCUACAAUGGAAGCAUGGACAUAAUUUGGAAGGGACGGGAGUACACUUUGAGGGGAGACAUGCAUUUGUGA
rnacentral:rRNA from 1 species